GCUUACGGCCAUACCACCUUAGGCACGCCCGAUCUCGUCUGAUCUCGGAAGCUAAGCAGGGUCGGGCCUGGUUAGUACUUGGAUGGGUGACCGCCUGGCAAUACCUGGUGCUGUAAGCA
ensembl:rRNA 5S_rRNA 5S ribosomal RNA